CAAGAACAAGUAAAAAAAAAAGAAGGACAACAAAACAAGUGCAUAGGAAAUUCUGUUUAGAUGCUGUUGCCUGCCUCAAGAACCUCAGAUGUGGACUGUCCUGUCUAGGAGAGACUAUUGCAGAAGGGGUGGAAGUCGGACUAGCCCAGAAGUGAAUGGGAGAGAGGCUCCUAGUUGUACCCCCAAAGCAUACCAGCAUGGGGACCAAGAGACAGGAUCCAAUGGCCAUCUGUUUCACCAACAGGACAAAAGGAGCUCCCACACUGAUCCGCGUCUGCAGAACACAGCUGUGUGGAGACAGGAAGUCAAGAACCAAUGGCCAUCUACUUCACCAGUGGGACCACAGGCUCUCCCAAGAUGGCCCAGCACUCUCAGAGCAGCCUUGGAACUGACUACACCCUCUGUGGAAGGUAGGGAGGAAACACUGUUUUUGCUAAACUCUCCCCUGAGCUGCCAGCACGUGUACCCAACUGUCUAGCGGACGCCUCUGCUAAGAUGGCUCUUAGAUAUCUCCAGCGUAACGUCUACAAAACAGCACUCUCGACGCCCCUGCCCAAACUUAGCUCAGCAAAUGGGCACCAUCUCACCAACUGAUCAAGCAAGAACUUAGGAGUCAACCCUGAUUCAGUCCUCACAACAGCAUGUCUGGCUCCUUCUCCUCAUCGCCAGGUAUUGGCUAGACCUGAGUCCUCAGAUGUCAUAAACAACAUGUCCAACACUGGCUGGGUCAAGGCCACCAUUGGCAGUGUGUUUUCUUCCUGGCUUCAGGGA
rnacentral:lncRNA from 1 species